rnacentral:snRNA from 1 species
AGCUUUGUGCAGUGGCAGUAUCAUAGCCAGUGAGGUUUAUCCGAGGUGCCAUUAUUGCUAAUUGAAAACUAUAUGCCAACUCCAUACUUUAUAGUUAAGUUUUGAAAUUGGGGAAUUUCA